CCUAUUUUAAACGGCACUAUAAAUAAAUUAGGUUUCAUCCUCACUCUUCUCUCUUUUCACUCAGCCGUUGAAGAACCAGAAGCCCUAAUUCCCAUUCGAAGUCUGCAACUUUCGUCUUCUGGCCUCCCUUCUCUCUCGGGUACAGAGUGAUACACCCUUCUCCUUUCCCUUUGAAGUGAGAUAAAAUGGGUGAGAGGAAGGUGCUUAACAAAUACUACCCACCGGAUUUUGAUCCGUCAAAGCUACCAAGGGUUCGUAGACCCAAAAACCAGCAAAUGAAGGUUCGUAUGAUGCUUCCUAUGAGCAUCCGGUGCAAUACUUGUGGUAAUUACAUAUACAAGGGCACAAAGUUCAAUUCUCGCAAGGAGGACGUCAUUGGUGAGACAUAUUUGGGAAUUCAAAUUUUUAGGUUCUACUUCAAGUGUACCAGAUGUUCUGCUGAGCUUACCAUUAAAACAGACCCCCAAAACUCAGACUACGUUGUAGAAUCAGGAGCCACACGUAAUUUCGAACCAUGGCGUGAGGAAGAUGAAGCUUCUGAGAAGGAGAAACACAAAAGGAAUGCGGAAGAGAUGGGGGACCCAAUGAAAUCUUUGGAGAAUAGAACCUUGGAUUCCAAACGGGAGAUGGACAUUCUUGCUGCUUUGGAUGAGAUGAAGUCUAUGAAGUCGAGACACGCAACUGUGAGUAUUGAUUCAAUGCUUGUGGCUUUGCAACGAACUGCUGCUGAAAAGGAAAAGAAGUUAGAAGAAGAAGAUGAAGCACUGAUAAAAUCAAUAGUCUUCAAUAACUCAAACAGUUAUGUUAGAAGAAUUUCAGAUGAUGAAUUUGAUGAUGGUAGUCAUUCUGUUCAGCAUUUGACCAACAAUGAUAUAGCAUCGGACUUUAAAGCAAAGAAGCUAAGGGUUUCUGAAGGAUCUCCUCAUGAUCCUACCAGUACUUCAACAAAAGCUGAUUUUCUCCAUAGCCGCAUGGGUGAAGGUACCCUACCUUUAUACUUUUCUAAGGAAUAUAUUGGGAAAAUGGUGUGAAUGUUACAAAUAUAUACCAAUCUUUAAUUGAUUUGUCCCUUCUCUCAAUAUUGCGAGAAAAAGUUUUUGGUAGAAGCUAGUGCUGGGUAUAAAAGGAUCUUCUUUAUUCUUUUCUCUCUUCAUGAAAAGGUUACAGUUAAUAGGAAGGCCUUUCCAAUUCAAAAGUGGGAAAAUGGUAAAAGAAUAGUUAGUAAGGAACUUUUCAACGAGCGUUCUUAUAGUUCCUUUGGGAGGGGAUUCUCUCUACCUCUUAUCCCAACCCCUAGGCUGUUUGUUCUCUCCUUUUUUAAUCCUUUCAUGUUUCUUAUAAGGAAGAUUGUUGCUGAGGAAUGAGGGGUUCUCAUGGGGAGGAAAAUCAAGAUGAUUUUGGUUUGCAGGUGUGGAAUUUCAAGUUGGUAGCACUUAGUUUAAGGUAGGAAAUUAGAGUUUACAAGGGAUUGGGAUACGAUCUCAGAUGCGUCUUUUUCCUCUAAACAAGUCAGUUUAUAUCUGUGCUUUUCUUUCUCAAAACGACCCCAUCUUGAAGGGAGGUGAAACAAAGGCAUAUGGUGAAACUCUUGAAAGGCAUCACAAAGAUUCACCUUUUAUCUUCUCCUUUCUUCUUGUGUUCUGUGGGGAUGGGAAGGAAACAGUUUUCGGGAGGAUAAGUGGAUUAGGGAUAACCCUAUUAACUGCUCUCUUUUUCCAUGUUUUUACCUUUCAUCCUCAAUGAGGAAUCAAUCAUUUGUUGCUAUCUUUCCCCAUUCUUUGGAUUUUAUUGUAGUUUGUCCGAUAAGGAAAUGGCAAAUAUUAUUGCUAUUCUUUCCUUGAAUUGGGAAGUCUCGUUGUAAUCCAGAUGUUUGUGGUUGGAGUUUGCUCAAUUGAUGGUUUUUUGUGCAACUCCUCUUUUCUUGGCAGUCCUCCGUGUGAGUUCUGGGUUUUUGCCUUGUUGCAGAAGUGAAAAAUUAUCAAGAAGGCUAAGAUUUUUUACUUGAUAUGUUAUCCACAUAAUAGUUCACAAGUUGGAUUGGGUGUUGAGCAAAGUGCCCAAUUUGUCUGGUUUGUGGUCUUACGUUGUUUGUAGGAGGGAGGCAAAAGAUCUUAUUCAUAUAUUUUGGAGCUGUGAUCUUGCUUAUUUGGUUUGCAGUUGGUCUUUGAGGAGUUUGGCUUCAUUUUGGCUAGAUUUCGUGAGAAAGGUUGUUUCUUGUGGCAAGUCAUGUUGUGUGCUCUUUUGUGGAACCUUUGGGUCGAGAGGAACAGUAGAGUUUUUAGAGGGGUUGAGAAUUCUUCGAGUGGUCUUUUUCCCGUAUUGAAUUUAAUGCUUUGUCGUGGGCUUUUGGUUGAAUCUCCUUCUUGUGGGUCUUCCUCGUUGUUUACCUGUGUAUUCUUUCAAACUCUUUUCUAUGAAAACUUCUUUAUUCAUGAAUCUAUCUAUAUAUCUAUAUCUAUACUAUAUAUAAAAGAGACUAGGAUGAGAGUCUUUACAUCCCUGCUUUGCUUGUACAAGUCUUCAUAAUUCGUAUGUCUUGCGUCACAAUGAUUUGAGUCGAGGUGGUUACAUGUGAAAUGGUGUAUUCUUUUAUGUAUCAGUAUGAUCUAGAUCAUUUUUUUUCUUUAAAGGGGACGAAGCUUCUUUAUUAAUAAGGACUCAAAGUAUAAUCGAGGGAGUCGUAGGGGGAUUGGGAGGCGCACCCAGACAUCUCAACUAGGUUGACACCCCCUUAGCGCCAAGCAUCAUAUCCCCAAAAAACAUAAAGGCAAAAAACCAAUGGAGGAACAAUAAUAAUAACUUCCAGCCUAUUACAAGGGUCCAGAAAAAUAGGAAAAACGUGACCAGAAAAAACAGAAAAGGACCCAAUAAAACAAUCUAAAAAUUAAAAACUUACAAAAGGCCGAUCCUUCAAAACUUCGAGGCUUCAGACUGUGAAAUCUGCAAUGCAGUGGAUCUGGUGCAGCAACGGUUAGUCUUGAUUGAGAAAAACAUUCCAGUUGAGGUGAAAAUGGCAACGUUGGGACGUCUACUGAUACGAAAUUUGUUUCGAAAUCUUUUCCGGUUAUAGUUUCUGUUAAAAAAAAACCAGAAGUGACUGCUUGGGUGGAGAAUAAACAGAGCUUGCAACUUCAAAGCAAUGAUACCAAAACUGGACUUGAGUCAUUGUGCCAAUACGAUAGCGACGAGGAUUGAUAUGUUAUAUCAUAUUGUGUUUAUGAACUUUAAUUUAGUGUGCAUA